rnacentral:tRNA from 1 species
CGCGGGGUGGAGCAGUCUGGUAGCUCGUCGGGCUCAUAACCCGAAGGUCGUAGAGUUAAGAACUGCGCCCGCAACCA